rnacentral:lncRNA from 1 species
UCAUAUCUCAUCAGCAUUUCAAAUGUGUGGUCCACAAAACAAUGCAUACUUUCUUAUCCAUAAUAGAUCUGGGAUCAUAAAUUUGUCAUUGCAAUAAAUUGGGACCAUAGCAUAUUUGUAUUCAAAAUUCAAAUAUAGCCCAAAAUCAUGAAUUUCAAACAAGAAUUGAAAUAUAAGAUGAAAAUUACAAUGGUUUUCAGAUUUUCUAGAAUCGAAUAAAAGAUCCAAACCCGAAAGUACAAGAAAAGGGAGACGAGAGAACCCAAAGAGGCUUUUUAAAGAGAUAGAAGGAGAGAGAAACAGAGAGAAGCGUCCAUGGAACUACAGCCAUG